GUUUUCUUUAUCAUGUUGCUGUAGACAGCGUGGAAAUAGUCAGGGUUUUGUUAAAUCCGAUGUCCUGACAUUUCAUCCUCCCAGUCAGACAGUCCUCCCAGGGCUACUAGCCAAGAACUGAUCACAGAAAAAAAGUGAAAUAAUCAUAGAAAGCCCUCACUGGCCUUCAGCAUCAGGCAUUAUACGUUUGUAUUUUUGUAGAUGGAGACGUGCAGGAAUCUGCUGGGUAUUCCAGUGAACCACAUCUUCCCUGUUAAAAACUACCAUGAGGAGAUGGACACAGACAAUGACAUGGAUGCUGUGAUUCUCAAAGCACUUGAUCAGAUUGUGAGCGUCGCCUGUGACGCACUGAGAAAAAAAAACAUCUCUGACCUCUGGUGAAAAAUCUGAGUAAGGUCUCGGAUCCCAAACGCCUCAGUGGCAUUAGUGCAACACAGAGUGCUUUACAAAGCAUUAAAAACAAAGGAUUACAGUUAUUCCUAAAUGGAGAUAGAUUUUAAGCGUGUUUGUGGAAUAGUUAACAAAUUACACUCUGAGGAGCGUAGUCUGGGAUUUGGGGUGUAAGGUGUUACAACCCGCUAUCUUGGGACGGGUAGUUUUUGUGUGCUGUGACAUUUUGUGUGCAGGUUCAAACUCCCUCCCAGACUUUCCAGCUUGCCCUAGCCUGCCUUGCUCCCGCCUCCCAGGAUGACCUCACUGAUUGGCGGCCAUUUUUAAAGAGGAAGACGGAGUGAGAAUGUGUAGGAUCUUGGAGAUCAACCCAAUUGAAUCUCAAGCUGGUUAUUCUGUGCGGCCUAACCUAGACUGGGCCGUAACAAAGGGAUUAAUAAACUAGCAGGUGGCGGUAAUGAGCAGCCAUGACUCUGCUGUCGGACAUCACGAAGAAGAGUGAGUAUAAAAGAAGCAGGCGAGCGUUUCUCCUCCUCUUCUCUGCGUGGUUUUUUAAUCAUGUGGUGUGGUGUCCUUUUCUCUCUCACGCCUUCCAGCCCCACAGCUUCACGCGCACAUGGCUUGGAUAACUGGAGUAACACGUGAUCCUGUCUUCUGCGCUGUUAUUGGUUCCUACGCGUGAAGCAGUCCUUUGAUUGGCUGGUGAGCUUGAGCUGUCCAGGAAAUGUAGUUCUAUGAAUGGAGAAAGCAGGAUUCUAAUGGACCACAUUUGAGUUCUUUAGGAUGUGACAUCACAGGAAUAUCCGAGACUCCUUUUCAGCUGUGCAGAAGGUUUGCCCCUUCCUGUUUGAGGCCUUUUAAUCCAAGAUGGAAAUUGGUGUGCUCAAGAAGUCAAAGAUCUUGCAUCAUGCUUGUGCAUCCUUUUAUAUGGCUUGUAAAGUCAUUCCAUCACUUUGGGCUGCAUGUUGAUGUGAAUCCUGACCAUGUAAUGAGAAAUAAAUGGAUUUUGAUGCAAAA